CGGACGGGUGAGUAACGCGUGGGUAACCUGCCUCGAUACAGGGGAUAACAGUUAGAAAUGACUGCUAAUACCGCAUAAGCGCACGGUUUCGCAUGGAACAGUGUAGAAAACUCCGGUGGUAUGGGAUGGACCCGCGUCUGAUUAGCUGGUUGGCGAGGGUAACGGCCCACCAAGGCGACGAUCAGUAGCCGGCCUGAGAGGGUGAACGGCCACAUUGGGACUGAGACACGGCCCAAACUCCUACGGGAGGCAGCAG
rnacentral:rRNA from 1 species